CUUCCGUCCUGUCCUGGCUCACAAAAGAUCAGAGGUUGGAUCCUGGCUGUCCCCCUGGCAGCCUUCAUUCCCAACAUGAGAAUCUAGCUGGUGAGGCAGCUGCAGAGCAAACCCACCGAGCCUUGGAGAGCCCCAGGCAGAUGGGGGUCAGGGGAGCUGCCCAGCCAGGAGAGCAUGUGUCUUCAAAGGCCUCUCAAGGCAACAAACAGUACCUGCUUUGCAGUUUACCCUUCACAUUUGCUGCCUUGAAUGGCUCCUGAGCAUGCCUGCCUCUUCAUUUGAGAUCUUUCAACAGCUGUCUGAUAGAGAAGACCUUUAUCUCGCCUCUCCCGGGCUCCCAUCCAACACCAGUCUCUGGAGGCACAAUAAAGUGAGGAGUCACCUCUGCCACCCCAAGGUAUCUGCACGAGGACCUCUAGAAAUGAAGGUUGCUCACCCUGGGUUGCUCCUGCACAGCCAGAGAGACAAAGACACUGCCAAGCUUCCUCUGAGAUCUGCAGCAUGAAUUCCACCCUGGGAUCCACUGAAAGGGUUUUCAGGUGCUAGA